GAUGAGAAACUUUCGCCCUCUCCCUCUUCAACAACAAGAUGAUAAACGAGAAAACUCCACAGAUAUCCCCCGAUGUUUGCCGUCCAUGUUGCGUCUCUUUCAACCUCAACAAGAAGAACCAACACAACCUGUUGCCAUGCAGGACCGGGAGAGCUUCCUCCCGGGAAAAGCCGGACUACACGCAGACUUUAGAGGCGAUAACGGGAGCAAGGGUGACACCGUGCGAUGGCUUUCACAAAGCGAAAGCGGUGUGUACAAGAUGCCGUUCAAUGUUGAGUAAAUACAUAAGAACGUGUACGAGAUGGGCAGGAUCACAGCUUUUAUCCGGGAGAGAGCAGCAAGGCUGUCGGACACCAAGGCAUCUCCAUGUAUCACUUCUCCAAUGGUGCGUCUCUUCUGGCUACUUAGAAUCAAAAUAAUUGUUUCUUAUUGUGUUUUGUGUUGCUCAAAGGGUGUGAUCUAGGAUUUGUUUAUCUGUUGAUUGCUAUGAUUACAUCAUGUACCCUCAAAUCUCCUCCAUGGUUAUCAAAUGCUUAUGUUGGAUGAAUAUGUUAAUUGUUGGAAAGCAGAAGAAGAGAUGGCUUCUUCACUGCCUCGGGGUUGGCUGCACGGAAGUUGGAUUGAAUUGGUGAUCCUCUUGUCUUGUGUGUCCCGAAGAUUAUUGAUGUGUCCUUGUGUUGACAAUAAGUCAUGGUGAGAGCCUAGUUGAAUGAUGCUGGACCCGGUGAAUGGCGCAGUCCUGCCUGUUGCUGUCCUUCUACGGAUGGACGAGGAUGGCAGCGAAAAGCUCAGACUCCCCUAUGACUCCCCUCUGAUUCUGAACGUUGAUACUUUGAUUUCAACAACUCGCUCCAAACCUGCAGUCCGAAUCGGACUGACCAAGGACGACUUUUAUCCCUGGCAAUCAUCUCUAUUGCGAUGAAGAGACUUUCAAAACUGAAAUCAACUAAAGUUGACAUCUGCAACAAAGUCAAAGUCACUGAUAUCUUUGUCCAAACGAAAUGGACACUGUUUAAUGAGUAUGAAUAGUGGAAGUGCUGGAACACCCACCUGUAGCCGUCAUUUCACACCUGCCGACCUCGACAAGUCUCCUACAGGCAGUGUCUGUCUGAAACCUGGAUCCGUCCCGCGUUUAAGGUUUCCCCAAAGCUAAUGCCCAAGACUGCCAAACCACCAGGCUCAGCAGAAGAUGCAGCCGGGGGAAUUCAAGAUCUUAGAUUAAGUGUAAACGGUUCAUUCACUCCUAAUGAACACCUUUUGGGCCACAUGAAAAAAUAUGUUAUUAUUAUAUUGUGCAUCCUUGGUGCUGACACCGCUGAGAGUGACUAGAGACGCAGCCUGUCAGACAGAGAGCUCGGGGGCUCUGCAAACCGAGGAGAACCGGAAUCCUUCAAAGAGAACCGAGGCGUUCCAAGUGAAGGUGCCCGUGAAGGAUGAAGGCGAGGAAGAAGAUAUCCCCUGGGUGAGGGGUCGCCGAGAGGAAAGCGAGGAGCAGGAGGACCGAAAGCGCCCAGUUAGCCCUGCCGCUGCUGGCCCCCCAUCCAACGUUAGCGCUCUCUCGGAAACGCCCUCUCCUCGGCCUCGGGAAGGAGGAUGUACAGGAAGAGACAGGGACGACCGUGAAUGACGAGGAGACGCUUUUCACUGGCCGGACUCUGGCGCCCCCUAGUGCUCUGUGUGUGAACCGCAUGUAGAGGUGGCGCAGGGAUACGGAGAGGAGGAAGAUGACAUGUUCCAGUGGCGGUCGGACUUCGGAGGAGGCGGCAUCUUCGUUCCGUCUCCACGGUAACAACGAUUCCACGACGGCUCUGACAUCAUCCGGUUCUAACCGAGGCGGGAGAAUAGCGUCGAAGUAGGGUAAACAAACUUUUGGAUCACAAUUUUCCCACUGAACCCUUAGACUGUUCAACAAAUCUGUUGACUUUUACUUUGUACACACAAGACUGGAAAGGCUGGCUGUCACCUCCGACACAUUCUCUGAUUCGACACACACACACACACACACACACUAAAGCAUCUGUGUGCACACAUAUUAACAAUUUCUGAAGUCAUAAAUACCGUUGAUAACAAUGUUUAUCACAUUGAUAGGGUUCUGUUCAACAUGGUCGUCAACAAAGUUAACUCCAAUGUAACGUCUUAUUGAUUUAUUAGAGUUGUACUAUGCGGAAAAGGCCACAAGGUGGCAGUGUGCUAAAGUCGGAGAGCAGCGCUCUGAAUUUCCAAGUAAACAAUUAAUUUAAUUGAAAUAUCAAUAUGUGUUUUUGAUAACGCUCGUUUACCGCAUUGCAAUCGGAAUAUAUACUGCUAGUAUAUGGGUUUAAUGUAAAAAAAAAAGUCUCACUCAAUUAACUGUCAUAAACAUUUUUAUGUUUCCCCAAUCUCGGAGAUGAGUAACAAAAAUACAGUUGUUCAAUAAUGUUCAUUUACAUAUUCAUGAGCAUGUACAAGUGAGAGCAGUCGAACAAAAAGUGCUUUUUUUUUUUAAACAAGGAAUCAUCUUUGAAUAAUCACGUCAUCAUUGGUAAACCAACUAAAAAGAAAAAAUUCCAUUCAUCUGAAUGGAAAAUGGAAAACAAUCCGUCCAGAUAAAAAAGUUGAGUCUCAGACGAGAGGAAUCAAACACAUUUCCGUUAGUGGAUCGUAAAACAAAUUUGUGUUAAAAAUAAUCAUCAACUGCUGUGUUUUUGUGAUCCCCAGAUGGCGAGCUGAAUACCUCAGACAGUCAAUAAGUCAAAACAGGUCUUAAAUCUAUUACAUUUUGCACAACGCUUUGUAUGGCACGAGAGCCAUCCUCUGCUGAAACAUUUCCUUGUAGGGCGAAGUCUGGGCCAGUACAACACUAGAUGAGGUCGCCGUUUACGUUUAUCCACGUUGGACAAGAUGAAACCCCCCUCCGACUCAUAUUAAACACAAUUUCACGAGGGGAGAACUAUUAGGUAAACCUAAUAAAUAAAACUAAUCUUUCCAGAAUCAACGUAAUCUCACACGCACGCACACAAUCACUGUGCAGACAUGACUGGGAGCCCCUAACCUAUGUUUUGUUAUAUUUGAUGGUGCAUAACAAGAAUAGUUCCAAUAUCGUUUUGUUGCCUCCAUGGCUUUUUAAUUAAUCUUUUUGCUCAUGUGAAAGAACACGCUGAACCAAAAGGAAAUCCAAUUAGUACACAAAGAGCCUCACUGCGCUCAUUUACGUGUUCAUCGUCUCCCCGCCUGCCAACCGGUUUUAGAGGCUGGGGGGAGGCAGGUUAAGAGGGUAGAGGUCAUGCCAGGGUAUAUAAUCUAAAUCAAAGCAAUGUACACAGAAGCCUUUAUAUAGCCUUUAUAUCAGGGCCUUAAGCCCCAGUGGGCGUCGUAUGGUUGCCAGUCAUUGUUUGACCCCGCCCACCUGGCGCGACUAGAGCUAUGAAAGAAGGUCAAGUUAAUUGAAGCAGGAUUUUGAGGAGGGGGGGGGUUACCUUGAAUUCUUUAAAGACCUGGCUAGGGGUCCCAGAACGGAUUAACCAACUCAUGAGGGUCAGUGGAGAGAGGAAAUUAAAAGUCGUGGGAGAAUUCAAACUAUUGGAUGGACGCGUGAAGAAAUUGAGUGGCAACAAAAGGCCGCCCCCUCAUGGCAAACUAACAAAGCCUCCGUUUAGUAGGCCUAAUGCUUAAAUAACAUUAGUUAAAGAAAGAAAAUGAUUAGUGGGAAAUGUCUUUCUCAGAGCGACCUCAACAGUAGAUUGUCUGUUUAUCUUUGGAACAAGGUUAGGUCAGCUUAAGAAACCCUGACUAAAUCAACCCUGUCCUCCGUCAAGCUUUCCUCGAGUGUCAUGGCCGUUUAAACCUUUCAUUAAAUAGACAAACAAGAACGCUAAGAAAAGGAGGAGAUAGAGUUGUGUGUGUAUGUGUGUGUGUAAGCUGACCCAACAGUGAUGUCUGUCUCUUAAUAAAUGCAUGAGGGCUGGCAUGCGCUUUUUUUCUUUCCAUGGAUGAGUUGCGCGCGCACACACACACACACACACACACACACACACACACACACACACACACACACACACACA